rnacentral:rRNA from 1 species
UACGAAGGGGCUAGCGUUGUUCGGAUUUACUGGGCGUAAAGCGCACGUAGGCGGAUCUUUAAGUCAGAGGUGAAAUCCCAAGGCUCAACCUUGGAACUGCCUUUGAUACUGGGGAUCUCGAGUUCGGGAGAGGUGAGUGGAACUGCGAGUGUAGAGGUGAAAUUCGUAGAUAUUCGCAAAGAACACCAGUGGCGAAGGCGGCUCACUGGCCCGAU